GGGAGAGGAGCCCAGCCCCGGUUUUCACAGGUGUUUCCACUGAGUUUUCAGGACUGAAAAAGGAGACUCGCCAUGGAGUUUGGGCUUUGCUGGGUUUUCCUUGUUGCUGUUUUAAAAGGUGUCCAGUGUGAGGUGCAGCUGGUGGAGUCUGGGGGAGGCUUGGUCCAGCCUGGGGGGUCCCUGAGACUCUCCUGUGCGGCCUCUGGAUUCACCUUCAGUAACAGUGACAUGAGCUGGGUCCGCCAGGCUCCAGGGAAGGGGCUGCAGUGGGUCUCAUCCAUUAGUUAUAAUGGGGGUAGCACAUACUACGCAGACUCCGUGAAGGGCCGAUUCACCAUCUCCAGAGACAACGCCAAGAACUCGCUGUAUCUGCAGAUGAGCAGCCUGAGAGCCGAGGACACGGCCGUGUAUUACUGUGCGAGACACAGUGAGGGGAGGCCCGUGUGAGCCCGGACA